rnacentral:lncRNA from 1 species
UUUCGAACAAUCAUACAAAUCUCUAUUCCUAUCACAGUUUAAUUGAUUAUCAGAUUGUUGAUUCACAAGGUUUAUGCUAGGAUUUUAGUCUCCCGACCUCAAAUCUUUUAUCUAUUGAACAUUGCAACUACAACUCCCGCAGAGAUACAACAAUUCUUCUAGAUUCAAUAAGUUAUCUUCUUGCAAUUGAACCAAACAAGGCUUCUAGGUAUAUCACUAUCCUAGAUGCUAAUUCAAACUCCUUAUUUCAUAAGAGUAAGAACGUUGUUCCUUAAUUUCUUCAUUCUAUCCUAUGAUUCUCCUCCCGGAUUUACAUAGAAAUAUAGAUUUAUUCUAAUGGUAGCUAAUCAUCAAAAUAGUAAGAUCAUGAAAUCAAGAACAAUCCAUAUGAUAAUCCACAAUUAAACUACAAUAAAGAAUAUUAAAGAGUAUUCAUGUUCUUGGCCUCAACCCCGGAAAGACGGUUUUAGCCUUUAAUAGAAAUAUUCAUCAUCCAAUCCCUUGCAAUGAUGAUACAAACCAUAAAAAAAAACUAAAUUAAAGAAUGAAAAAACCUAAAAAUAAGUUGUAGUAUCCUCCAAUGAUGUUCCAAGUUGGAUUGGGUUUCCGCGCUAUUUUACUUCAUAUGGACAGAAUUAUCCUGAUUUUGGACAUCGGCGUGAUGCGGUGACAUGCAAAUUCACAAUUGUCAAAAAUCUUUCAAAUUCCAGUAGCUAUUCGUGAUUUCAACGCGUCGCGGGGCCUCCUUAAACUUCAAAUUAAGAUACACGCACCAUUUUUUCAAAAAAUUGGGCCUCUUAUGAAUCCAGUGGUAUUUUAAAUCCUCCAUUGGACACUUGUACAAUCCACACUCGCCCAAUACUAUUCAGGGAUCCAACUUGCAUCCAACUUGCGUCUUGUGCUUUUGUUGAGCAUUCCGAGCCUUAUUGAGUUGUUUCCACUUGAUUUGAAGCUUGUAUAUCCUUAUAUCAUCAUAAUCCAUGCACCAAGCAUCCCAAAUCAUUAAACACAUCAAUUAAGAGCUCAAAACAACACAACAUCCUCAUCGAUGAACUAGAAACACGAGCUAAGCAUAGGCUAAAUUCACAUUGAGCUUUAACUCAUUGUUUUCACUCUUUUCUUGAUCCAAUUGACCCUUGAACAUUAUAACUAAGUUUUUUCACAUAUAAACACAUAAUAAAAACCUUAUUAACUCAUUAAAACACAUUAGAACUCAACACAAAUAGACUAGAAAAACACCUAACUCAAGCUAGUCACACUAGUUUUCUCGAUUGAACUCUAAAAUGGUUGAAUUGAAUCAAAACUCGUGUGGAAACACCAUUAAACAUUGUAAACACGUACUUGGACACACAAUUGCUCAUUUAUAUCAUUAUUAACACAUAUAACAUAAUAAUCGUCCUCAAAACAAGGCUAAAUAAGCGAGAAUGGUAGUGCUAGAAUGCAUAAAUUCACCCAACAUCACAUGCUACAAUGUAUACUUGGAUAUGACUUUGACAAAAACUCUCUAGACAUUUUUAUUGUCUAAAAGGUGAUGAAUCAAGAAAAUAUAAAAUAUAAAAGAACAGAGAUUCAUUUCAUUAAUUUAUGGUAGUGUGAAACAUUAUUAAGUAAAGACAAAAAAUAUAAUUUAGAUCACAUGAACGGAAAAAAAAAUCAGUCAAGAUAAAACUCAAGAAUAGAGUCUACUUAAAUUAAGUAUCUAAUAAGAGAAGUUUAGAUCAUAAGAGAGGAAAAAUAUCUAAUACUAACUUAUAUCUUGUUACCAAGAUUGUUGGAGUACCUUGUAGCAUGCGCUAGUUACAUCUCGAGAGACGAGAUGCUAAAACUAACUUAAUUUCAAUUGGACUAGCAUAAUAAGUUUUUUUUGUUAGGACUUUGAGUGUUGAUUGUAUUGGUACUUGUAGUCACUUCCACUACGCCGUGUCUAAAGAAAUUCUUUUAAUAAUAUAUUUUACAU